GACCUUAACCAACUGAGCCCCCCACAGGCGCCCCUGGAAGGAGGGCAUUCUGCCUGGAAUCCAGAACUCCUGACUCCCGUUCCAGUGCUCUUUUCUUUACCCCAUGAAGUCUCUUGACCCAAAGGUGUUAUUCUAGACAUUGCUCUUUUUUUUUUUUUUUUUGAGUCAGAGAUGGUCUUGCCACUUCUAAUGGUGAGAAACAAAGCUUUCUGAGAGCCUCUGAUAAGCUUACUGGACUCCUCUUGUGCCCUCUCUAAAAUGUAAGUUUAGUGCAGAGAUUGCUGACCCCACUCAUUCUCUUCUAGGGCUGGAUGGGGAGCAGAAAUGAAGGAAGCUGAUCAAGGAUGUAACAGACUCAAGCCCACAAAAGCGACUCUGAAAGAUGUAGAGUGAUAUUACGAUUGAUUGGCCUGCCACUGAUGGUGCGUACGUGUUUUGUCGUUACUGGGGAGGCUGAAAGGGGGCCGAGUAAUAGAAUGAUUUGGCC
rnacentral:lncRNA from 12 species